rnacentral:rRNA from 1 species
CUAGUUCUAACCGUAAACGAUGACAACCAGCGAUUAAUCGGCGUUAAUAUAUGACCCGAUUAGCAGCUUCCGGGAAACCAAAGUUUUUCGUUUCCGGGGGAAGUAUGGUUGCAAAGCUGAAACUUAAAGGAAUUGACGGAAGGGCACCACCAGGAGUGGAGCCUGCGGCUUAAUUUGACUCAACACGGGAAAACUCACCCGGCCCGGACACCGUAAGGAUUGACAGACUGAGAGCUCUUUCUUAAUUCGGUGGGUGGUGGUGCAUGGCCGUUCUUAGUUGGUGGAGCGAUUU